ACGGGUGAGUAACGCGUGGGUAACCUGCCCUGUACAGGGGGACAACAGCUGGAAACGGCUGCUAAUACCGCAUAAGCCCUUAGCGCUGCAUGGUGCAUAGGGAAAAGGAGCAAUCCGGUACAGGAUGGACCCGCGUCUGAUUAGCCAGUUGGCAGGGUAACGGCCUACCAAAGCGACGAUCAGUAGCCGAUCUGAGAGGAUGUACGGCCACAUUGGGACUGAGACACGGCCCAGACUCCUACGGGAGGCAGCAGUGGGGAAUAUUGCACAAUGGAGGAAACUCUGAUGCAGCGACGCCGCGUGAGUGAAGAAGUAUUUCGGUAUGUAAAGCUCUAUCAGCAGGGAAGAAAAUGACGGUACCUGACUAAGAAGCACCGGCUAAAUACGUGCCAGCAGCCGCGGUAAUACGUAUGGUGCAAGCGUUAUCCGGAUUUACUGGGUGUAAAGGGAGCGUAGGUGGCAAGGCAAGCCAGAAGUGAAAACCCGGGGCUCAACCGCGGGAUUGCUUUUGGAACUGUCAUGCUAGAGUGCAGGAGGGGUGAGCGGAAUUCCUAGUGUAGCGGUGAAA
rnacentral:rRNA from 1 species